AUGCCGAUGGUGAAACGGUUAUCAUGCUUGCCUUCCAUGUUGUCUUGUUGUGAACUUUCUACUACGAGCAAGUGGUAGGGGUUCGACUCCCCUUCGGCGUA
rnacentral:tRNA from 1 species